CCAGCCCUUAUCAACAUAAUAAAUACACUACUACCGUUUGAUAGUAAAAGAAAAACAACAUCACCGAAAAUAAAAAAAUAAAUGCUCAUGAAUCCAUAUAUCUCUCACUCCGUUCUCCCUUUUGAAAUUGGUUUUCCUUAUCUCAAACUUUCCUCCUAACCACACGCACAACUUUCCUCUUAAAGCGGAAUAUGGAAAAGCAACCGAUGAACACCCUUUGGUGUUCAUCUUUUAAACACAUUUGGAUUCGAAAUGUAUGGUAAGACACUCAAAACAAUCAAACACAAAAACGUUUAUCACCCUAUAAUAUCUCCAAACCUUCAAUUGGACUUAGCCGAUAAAAGUCCAAUCUCCACAGAUUUGAACCCUAAAAGAAAGUCUACCCUAGAUUCUUAACCUGUUUCUCAUAUCGACAAUCAACAACAAAAUCAACAAAUCACGACAUGGGGAAACAAAGCUAUACAAGUGUUAUGAUGUUGAAGCCAUAAAGAAGAGGAUUCAUACAACUUUGACGGAUAUUCGGUGGCCGCGAACAUACCUCGUAAGCGAUCCUCUUUGGUAUCUCUUUGCUUCGUCUACUUUGAAUCCUUCUCCCUCCAAGUUCUUUUUCUUCUUUGCUAAUUCCGAUCUGGUGAUUGUCUUGUUUUAGCAGUGGCUUAGCUCGAACUUGUUAAGUUUUAGUGUGAAAUCUCAACGAGUUCAAAGGAGAAAAAAUGGAGCUUUGAGUAAUGUCUAAGAUAAAUUCAGCAGAGUGACAGUAGGGUUCCCCUUUCUAAAUGACUCUAAACACUUAUUUAUAGAGUCCCCUCCUCAUCUCCGAAUUAUGAGCUGGAAAAUCUAAAGGGAAUCAUUCCGUUAGGGAGAAAAUUCCUUUUGGAUUUGGUGGGGACCGAUUUUCAUGCAGGUUGCGAUUGUUAUUACACUUUUAUGGAUGGUACAUAGGACUUUUUGGUUAUUUGGUUGGUUUGAGAAUUUUCUCAAGGAGAAGAGUGAGUUGUAUGUCAAAUUGUCAUCAGCCGCGGUUGCUUGAAGCAAGCAAGGACCUAUAAUGAAGCGUCCAUAGCAUGGUGUUUUGGGAACCGAACCAAUGUCCGUUCAUCAUGGAAUUGUUCAUUAUUGUUUCAUGGCCAUGCGCACGACAACAAUGUCUCUAUUUGGUUAUGGUUUGUCUUGCUACUAGUGAACUGUCAUGGUGUCAACAGGUGGAACCAGAAUUUGAAGCUUGGGAGCCAACAAGUUCAUCUUCUACUUGCAUGGUUGUAAUCCUUCAUUUCUUGUGAUAGGCUUCAUUGUACUGUUGAUGUUUUAGCUUGGCGUGACAAAUGGAAGGAAUUUGAUCUAUACUUGUCCUGCAUAGAAUCCUGUAUUGCAAGACUUAUGGCCGACGUGCUCCUUGGCUCGUUUGUGGUAUGCAAGUCGCAGCGCUUCACUCAGCCCGAAUCCAUCUUGGCCUAUGCCUCCUUGAAGUAUCUUAAAUUCUUUCCCUUUGGGGGGAUUUUAUUCAAUAAGCUUUUCUGUCAACAUGUUCUUCGCACGAAGUCGUCUCAUCCUUCAUGUUUUCAAAUGUCCUAUCCUUGUCAUCUUUCCCGGGGCUUGUAAAUAAUUGACCAAUAUGAGCCACUGCACAAAAAGGUGACGUCGAAAUCUUGGACCCUUCAACACUAGAUCCAUUGUUUUACUACUUGUGAGGUACUUUACACUUAAAUUGACCGCCUCUUCUUCCCAAUGGCUAGCAUCUCCUUCUCCAUCACGUAAAUGUAGUACUUCAAGUAUUCAUUACAAACAAUAAACUGGCGGUAAA